UCAGGACGAACGCUGGCGGCGUGCUUACACAUGCAAGUCGAGCGGAGAUUGCUUUAUGUAAUCUUAGCGGCGGACGGGUGAGUAACGCGUAGGCAACCUGCCUUGCACAGAGGGAUAACACCGGGAAACUGGUGCUAAUACCACAUGAUAUCAUAACAAGGCAUCUUGAAAUGAUCAAAGGAGAAAUCCGGUGCAAGAUGGGCCUGCGUCCGAUUAGUUAGUUGGUGAGGUAACGGCUCACCAAGGCGACGAUCGGUAGCCGAACUGAGAGGUUGAUCGGCCACAUUGGGACUGAGACACGGCCCAGACUCCUACGGGAGGCAGCAGUGGGGAAUAUUGCGCAAUGGGGGGAACCCUGACGCAGCAACGCCGCGUGAAGGAAGAAGGCCUUCGGGUUGUAAACUUUUUUGAUUGGGGAAGAAAAAAAUGACGGUACCCAAGGAACAAGCCACGGCUAACUACGUGCCAGCAGCCGCGGUAAUACGUAGGUGGCGAGCGUUGUCCGGAAUUACUGGGUGUAAAGGGCGUGUAGGCGGGAUUGUAAGUCAGAUGUGAAAUUCCAGGGCUUAACUCUGGAGGUGCAUCUGAAACUAUAAUUCUUGAGUGCUGGAGAGGAAAGCGGAAUUCCUAGUGUAGCGGUGAAAUGCGUAGAUAUUAGGAAGAACACCAGUGGCGAAGGCGGCUUUCUGGACAGUAACUGACGCUGAGGCGCGAAAGCGUGGGGAGCAAACAGGAUUAGAUACCCUGGUAGUCCACGCUGUAAACGAUGGAUACUAGGUGUAGGAGGUAUCGACCCCUUCUGUGCCGGAGUUAACACAAUAAGUAUUCCACCUGGGGAAUACGGCCGCAAUGCUGAAACUUCAAGGGAAUUGACGGGGGCCCGCACAAGCCGUGGAAUAUGUGGUUUAAUUCGAAAACAACGCGAAAAAACCUUACCAGGGCUUGACACCCAUCGGAUAACAUAGAGAUAUGUUAGUCAUUCGGGACGAGGAGACAGGUGGUGCAUGGUUGUCGUCAGCUCGUGUCGUGAGAUGUUGGG
rnacentral:rRNA from 1 species